UGGGGAAUAUUGGACAAUGGGCGCAAGCCUGAUCCAGCAAUACCGCGUGUGUGAAGAAGGCCUUCGGGUUGUAAAGCCCUUUUGUUGGGAAAGAAAAGCGAUCGGUUAAUACCCGGUUGUUCUGACGGUACCCAAAGAAUAAGCACCGGCUAACUUCGUG
rnacentral:rRNA from 1 species